UGAUGCUCUUAACUCAUAAUAUGAGCAUCAUUCAUAGGGAUGUAUUGCACCCUGGCUCUCCGACCGCCAAUUCGGGAGAAUGACAUCAACCUUCGGGUUACAAAGUUCAUAAUACACUGUAAAAUUCAGGGUCCACAAAGCAGAACUAUCAAGGCAACUGUAACAGUGGUUAAUAUAGUUUCCCACCCAUCGCCCUUCACCCAGGAGAGGACCACAGCCCAGAGAGGGAGGUUUCCAUUUGACACUGCUCUUACCUGGUUUUCCUGUCGCCUAGAGCAGUCGCUACAUCGCCAGGUAAGUCAGGGACGUAUGCGCAACCUUCAACCUUGAUUUUGGUACAGGUCCCUCCCUGAGCAGCUGUGAGUGUGUCCAAAGCGGUUCUGUCGUGAAGUCCCGCUUUUCUCAUCUGGAUCUGCUCUUCACUUAAGGCUUGGGUGGCUUUCUUCUAUCCAGGAGGGGCUGUCGUGUGAAAUUAGUCAAGGCCUCUGCUUUAACCAUGACACCUGUUUCCCUAUGCAGGGUAUGAAUGAGGCAGAAUAUACUCAUACCAUCGAAACACGAUCUUGUCCACCGGGCAUGUAACUGAGGCCUGUGCCUCCUUCCUCGACAGCCGGUGGCCUGCUUCCUUCAGCAGCUGGAGCAGCGCUUCUGUCCCCUCCCAGCAUUUUCCCUUGGUCUCGGCGGCCAGCAGCAGGCCAUCCCCAUACUGUAGGGGCCAACAUCCAGACUCUUCCGGGUGGAAUGAGUUCAGGCACUAAGCCCAGAGUUCAGCGUCCAUCGGAAAGGUGGCCGAGCGCGGUCAGCAUGAACAGGCCUGAGGAGGAGCCAGGCCCACGAGUUCCUCCUUCACAGCGACACCCAGAUGGCGUCACGAUGGCUCACGUGGCCUCCGGGUUCCCGGCUCACAGAGAAGCCAUGUUUGUGCUCUCCUGUGGUCUAGUGAGCGUGCAGCAGCACGAUUUCUAAAACACACACUCUGGGACUUCCCUGGUGGUCAGUGGUCAAGAACCCAGCUUGCAGUGCAGGGGACGUGGGCUCAGUCCCUGGUUGGCAAGCUAAGAGUCCCACAUGCUGCGGCGCAGCUACCUCUGCUCCACAACCAGAGCGGCUGAGCGCCACAGCGAAGACCAGCA
ensembl:lncRNA